rnacentral:tRNA from 1 species
UCCCUGGUAGCUCAGAUGGUAAAGCGUCUGACUACAAUGCAGGACACCCGGGUUUGAUCCCUGGGUUGGGAA